AGUUUGAUCAUGGCUCAGAACGAACGCUGGCGGCAGGCCUAACACAUGCAAGUCGAGCGAACCCUUCGGGGUUAGCGGCGGACGGGUUAGUAACGCGUGGGAAUAUACCCUUUGGUACGGAAUAGCCUCGGGAAACUGAGAGUAAUACCGUAUGUGCCCUUGGGGGAAAGAUUUAUCGCCAAAGGAUUAGCCCGCGUUGGAUUAGAUAGUUGGUGGGGUAAUGGCCUACCAAGUCUACGAUCCAUAGCUGGUUUGAGAGGAUGAUCAGCAACACUGGGACUGAGACACGGCCCAGACUCCUACGGGAGGCAGCAGUGGGGAAUCUUAGACAAUGGGCGCAAGCCUGAUCUAGCCAUGCCGCGUGGACGACGAAGGCCUUAGGGUUGUAAAGUCCUUUCAGAUGGGAAGAUAAUGACGGUACCAUCAGAAGAAGCCCCGGCUAACUCCGUG
rnacentral:rRNA from 1 species